rnacentral:rRNA from 1 species
CACGUAGGGCGCAAGCGUUGUCCGGAAUUAUUGGGCGUAAAGAGCUCGUAGGCGGUCUGUUGCGUCCGCUGUGAAAACCCGGGGCUUAACCCCUGGCUUGCAGUGGAUACGGACAGACUAGAGGUAGGUAGGGGAGAAUGGAAUUCCCGGUGUAGCGGUGAAAUGCGCAGAUAUCGGGAGGAACACCGGUGGCGAAGGCGGUUCUCUGGGCCUUACCUGACGCUGAGGAGCGAAAGCGUGGGGAGCGAACGGG